rnacentral:misc_RNA from 1 species
GGAAGCAAAAGUCGUAACAAGGUUUCCGUAGGUGAACCUGCGGAAGGAUCAUUCAUAAUAAAGUGUUUUAUGGCACUUUUUAAAAAUCCAUAUCCACCUUGUGUGCAAUGUUAGAUCUCGUCAAUCUUGGCGAGAUUUUUAUACAUCAACUCAUUCUUUAACUAAUUUGUCUGAAAAAUAUUAUGAAUACUUAAUUCAAAAUACAACUUUCAACAACGGAUCUCUUGGCUCUC